GUCCCUGUAGAGCAAUAGAUAGCUCGUUGGUUUUUUAAUCCAAAAGAAGUGGGUUCGAAACCCACCUGCGAUG